CUUCCGCAAUGGGCGAAAGCCUGACGGAGCAACGCCGCGUGAGUGAUGAAGGUCUUCGGAUCGUAAAACUAUGUUAUUAGGGAAGAAAAAAUGUGUAAGUAACUGUGCACGUCUUGACGGUACCUAAUCAGAAAGCCACGGCUAACUAAGUGCCAGCAGCCGCGGUAAUACGUAGGUGGCAAGCGUUAUCCGGAAUUAUUGGGCGUAAAGCGCGCGUAGGCGGUUUCUUAAGUCUGAUGUGAAAGCCCACGGCUCAACCGUGGAGGGUCAUUGGAAACUGGGAAACUUGAGUGCAGAAGAGGAAAGUGGAAUUCCAUGUGUAGCGGUGAAAUGCGCAGAGAUAUGGAGGAACACCAGUGGCGAAGGCGACUUUCUGGUCUGUAACUGACGCUGAUGUGCGAAAGCGUGGGGAUCAAACAGGA
rnacentral:rRNA from 1 species